CCACCCGACGCUGGUGCCGGUUGGUUGCUCCUUCAUCGUCGUGUUCGCGUUGACCUCUGUGGGUUGCUGCUUCUCCAACAUCGUCUGCAAGAAGUGGUACAUCGACAUGAACAAUAGGCCAGCGAUUUGCUUUCUGCUCGGAUUACACUGCCUGCAGCCUCCUAUUUGUGACGCCGUGGAACCAAAGUUUACAGCUACUCGGAGAUCCUAAUUGCAGACUCAACUAUCUUGACCUACCGAUGAUCUAAUUUGUGGCGUUAUUACCUUAAGAAAAUAUUUGCAUUUAAUUUCCUUUAUAUAUAGUGUUAUAAGUUCUUACCAAAUGUACUCAAAUAUACAGUUACGAAAAAAUGCAAAUAUUUUCAACACGAACAUGGUUUUAAACGAA